UUCCACGUGUAGCGGUGAAAUGCGUAGAGAUGUGGAGGAACACCAGUGGCGAAGGCGACUCUCUGGUCUGUAACUGACGCUGAGGCGCGAAAGCGUGGGGAGCGAACAGGAUUAGAUACCCUGGUAGUCCACGCCGUAAACGAUGAGUGCUAGGUGUUAGGGGGUUUCCGCCCCUUAGUGCUGAAGUUAACGCAUUAAGCACUCCGCCUGGGGAGUACGGCCGCAAGGCUGAAACUCAAAAGAAUUGACGGGGGCCCGCACAAGCGGUGGAGCAUGUGGUUUAAUUCGAAGCAACGCGAAGAACCUUACCAGGUCUUGACAUCCUCUGACCACCCUAGAGAUAGGGCUUUCCCUUCGGGGACAGAGUGACAGGUGGUGCAUGGUUGUCGUCAGCUCGUGUCGUGAGAUGUUGGGUUAAGUCCCGCAACGAGCGCAACCCUUGUUCUUAGUUGCCAGCAUUUAGUUGGGCACUCUAAGGAGACUGCCGGUGACAAACCGGAGGAAGGUGGGGAUGACGUCAAAUCAUCAUGCCCCUUAUGACCUGGGCUACACACGUGCUACAAUGGAUGGUACAAAGGGCAGCGAAGCCGCGAGGUGAAGC
rnacentral:rRNA from 1 species